rnacentral:rRNA from 1 species
UACGUAGGGUGCGAGCGUUGUCCGGAAUUAUUGGGCGUAAAGAGCUCGUAGGCGGUUUGUCGCGUCGAAUGUGAAAAACCCGGGGCUCAACCCCCGGGCCUGCAUUCGAUACGGGCAGACUAGAGUUCGGUAGGGGGAGUCUGGAAUUCCUGGUGUAGCGGUGAAAAUGCGCAGAUAUCAGGAGGAACACCGGUGGCGAAGGCGGGACUCUGGGCCGAUACUGACGCUGAGGAGCGAAAAGCGUGGGGGAGCAAACAGG